UCCACAGGAAAGGGGAGUCGGAUGCC
rnacentral:piRNA from 1 species